AAUUCUCAACCACACCUGCCUGGUGUGGCUUGGAUUUGGGCUGUUGCAGGCUUGUAGUCUGCUCCCCUGAAAUUAAUUAGCGGUACCUUGGUGGAACUGUCUACAGGUGUGAUAAUUAUCUACAUCCUAGACAUCUGCUGGAAUGCUGCUUUCUAAACGUAUUUGACAA
rnacentral:misc_RNA from 1 species